rfam:Candidatus Staskawiczbacteria bacterium RIFCSPHIGHO2_01_FTLL_34_27 rifcsphigho2_01_scaffold_17034, whole genome shotgun sequence.
UUUUUUGAGAGUUUGAUCCUAGCUCAGGGUGAACGCUGGAAACGUGGAUACCGGCAUGCAAGUCACGGGGACCGCAAGGUAACCGGCAAACGGCUUAGUAACACGUGGGUACAUACCCAGAAGUGGAGCACAGCUCGUCGAAAGACGGGGUAAUUCUCCAUAGUAUCGCAAGAUUAAACGCGCAAGCGGCUUCUGGAAUGGCCUGCGGCCUAUCAGCUUGUUGGUGAGGUAAAGGCUCACCAAGGCUAUGACGGGUAGGGGGCGUGAGAGCGCGACCCCCAAGAAUGGCACUGCGACACGGGCCAUACUCCUACGGGAGGCUGCAGUCGAGAAUCUUCCGCAAUGGACGAAAGUCUGACGGAGCGACGUUUCGUGAAGGAUGAAGCCCUUCGGGGUGUAAACUUCUUUUAACCGGGAAGAAAUCCGCAAGGAUUGACUGUACCGGUGGAAUAAGGGGUUCCUAACUCUGUGCCAGCAGGAGCGGUAAUACAGAGACCCCAAGCGUUACCCGGAUUUAUUGGGCGUAAAGGGUCCGUAGGUGGCGUAGUAAGUUGGAAAUUAAAGCUCAUCGGCUUAACCUUUGAGAUGUUUUCAAUACUGCUAUGCUUAGAGGGCGUUAGAGGCUAACAGAACCGAUGGAGUAGGGGUGAAAUCCGUUGAUAUCAUCGGGAAUACCAAAAGCGAAGGCAGUUAGCUGGGGCGACCCUGACACUGAGGGACGAAAGCGUGGGGAGCAAAAAGGAUUAGAUACCCUUGUAGUCCACGCCGUAAACGAUGAUGACUGGCUAUUGGCAGUGUCGACCCUGCCAGUGGCGAAGCUAACGCGUUAAGUCAUCCGCCUGGGAAGUACGAACGCAAGUUUAAAACUCAAAGGAAUAGACGGGGACUCACACAAGCAGUGGACCAUGUGGCUUAAUUCGACAACAAACGAAAACCUUACCAGGACUAGAAACCCAGACGACAAUCUGAUGAAAGUCAGACUUCGCAAGACGGCUGGGCAGGUGCUGCAUGGUUGUCGUCAGUUCGUGUCUUGAGACGUUCCCUUAAUUGGGGUAACGAACGUAACCCUUGCUCUGUGUUUUAUAUGUCACAGAGGACUGCCCGAGAUAAUUGGGAGGAAGGNNNNNNNNNNNNNNNNNNNNNNNNGAGGACUGCCCGAGAUAAUUGGGAGGAAGGUGAGGAUGACGCCAAAUCAGCAUGGCCCUUGAUGUCCUGGGCUGCACACGUGGUACAAUGGUCGGUACAAUGGGAGCAAAGCCGUAAGGUGGAGCAUAAUCUCAUCAAAGCCGAUCUCAGUUCGGAUUGAGGGCUGAAACUCGUCCUCAUGAAGUUGGAAUUGCUAGUAAUCGCCAAUCAGCUAUGUGGCGAUGAAUACGUUCCUGAGUCUUGUACUCACCGCCCGUCAAGCCAAGCGAGCUGGGGAUAGCCGAAGUUCCAAGCAAUUGGGCCUAAGCUAGAUUCAGUAAGAGGGGCUAAGUCGUAACAAGGCACGGGUAGCGGAAGCUGCUCGUGGAUCAUAUUUUUA